UGAGCAUCCAUUUGUUAUCACUAUUGCAUCAUAUCACCACAGUUUUAUACCAUUUCUCAUCAUUUGUCAUCACUUUGCAUGUUUAGGAUAGUUUUGCAUGCAUGUUGCAUAUUUGUGUUGUUUUCAUCUGAUUUAGAGCUAUUGACGACCUAAUUAGAAGAAGCGAACCUGAUCAUAUCAAACCACUCGACCCCCUGGUCGAGUAGAUGUUUCACGACUUCAACAGACCACUCGACCCCCUGGUCGAGUAGAAGACCUCAUCACUUCACGUCACUACUCGACC
rnacentral:sRNA from 1 species